rnacentral:misc_RNA from 1 species
UUAAGUUCAGCGGGUAUCCCUACCUGAUCCGAGGUCAACCAUAAGAGACAAUUAGGGGUUGUCUGGCAGGCACCGCCGGGCUUCCAGAGCGAGAGAUGUACUACGCUUGGAGCCUGCGACGGCACCGCCACUGAUUUUAAGACCGGCCAUCGCGGCCAGGCCCAAGACAAGCAGAGCUUGAGGGUUGAAAUGACGCUCGG